CUUAAUACAAAAUGAGCAAUCCUACACCUAUUUAUACUUGGCCACUUCUUCAAUCAAUGUCCAAGAUUUAUCCAACACAACUUUAAUCUAAUGGCUACAAAUCAGCUUCUACACAAUUCUACAAAAAUAUCCACUCUCUAGAUCACUCCAUACUUAUCUAUAUCAUUCUACUAUUCUAAAGAUAUUUCUAGAGCACAUUUCU
rnacentral:lncRNA from 1 species